rnacentral:rRNA from 1 species
UACGUAGGGGCCGAGCGUUGUCCGGAGUUAUUGGGCGUAAAGCGCGCGCAGGCGGCUUGGCGCGCCCGACGUGAAAGCCCCCGGCUUAACCGGGGAGAGUCGUCGGGGACGGCCGGGCUUGAGGGCGGGAGAGGGCGGUGGAAUUCCCGGUGUAGUGGUGAAAUGCGUAGAGAUCGGGAGGAACACCUGUGGCGAAGGCGGCCACCUGGGCCGACCCUGACGCUGAGGCGCGAAGGCGUGGGGAGCGAACGGG